ensembl:snRNA U6 U6 spliceosomal RNA
AUGCUCACUUCAGCAGCACAUAUACUAAAAAUUGGAACAAUACAGAGAAAAUUAGCAUGGCCCCUGCGCAAAGAUGACACACAAAUUUGUAAAGCACUCCCUAUUUUU